AGCGAACGUUAGCGGCGGGCCUAACACAUGCAAGUCGAGCGAGAAUGAGGGGGCAACUCCUCUAGUAAAGUGGCGGACGGGUGCGUAACACGUGGGUAAUCUACCUUCCGGCGGGGGACAACAGUCCGAAAGGAUUGCUAAUACCGCAUUCGUCGGCAGGGUCUACGGACUCUGCCGGGAAAGAUGGCCUCUCCUUGGAAGCUGUCACCGGAAGAUGAGCCCGCGGCCCAAUCAGCAGUUGGUGAGGUAACGGCUCACCAAGGCUAAGACGGGUAGCUGGUCUGAGAGGAUGAUCAGCCACACUGGGACUGCGACACGGCCCAGACUCCUACGGGAGGCAGCAGUGGGGAAUAUUGGGCAAUGGGCGAAAGCCUGACCCAGCCACGCCGCGUGAGUGAAGAAGGCCUGCGGGUUGUAAA
rnacentral:rRNA from 1 species